rnacentral:rRNA from 1 species
GGAGCUUGCUCCUUUGAAGUUAGCGGCGGACGGGUGAGUAACACGUGGGUAACCUACCUAUAAGACUGGAAUAACUUCGGGAAACCGGAGCUAAUGCCGGAUAACAUUUGGAACCGCAUGGUUCUAAAGUAAAAGAUGGUUUUGCUAUCACUUAUAGAUGGACCCGCGCCGUAUUAGCUAGUUGGUAAGGUAACGGCUUACCAAGGCAACGAUACGUAGCCGACCUGAGAGGGUGAUCGGCCACACUGGAACUGAGACACGGUCCAGACUCCUACGGGAGGCAGCAGUAGGGAAUCUUCCGCAAUGGACGAAAGUCUGACGGAGCAACGCCGCGUGAGUGAUGAAGGUUUUCGGAUCGUAAAACUCUGUUAUUAGGGAAGAACAAAUGUGUAAGUAACUGUGCACAUCUUGACGGUACCUAAUCAGAAAGCCACGGCUAACUACGUGCCAGCAGCCGCGGUAAUACGUAGGUGGCAAGCGUUAUCCGGAAUUAUUGGGCGUAAAGCGCGCGUAGGCGGUUUCUUAAGUCUGAUGUGAAAGCCCACGGCUCAACCGUGGAGGGUCAUUGGAAACUGGGAAACUUGAGUACAGAAGAGGAAAGUGGAAUUCCAUGUGUAGCGGUGAAAUGCGCAGAGAUAUGGAGGAACACCAGUGGCGAAGGCGACUUUCUGGUCUGUAACUGACGCUGAUGUGCGAAAGCGUGNGGAUCAAACAGGAUUAGAUACCCUGGUAGUCCACGCCGUAAACGAUGAGUGCUAAGUGUUAGGGGGUUUCCGCCCCUUAGUGCUGCAGCUAACGCAUUAAGCACUCCGCCCUGGGGAGUA